rnacentral:rRNA from 1 species
CGCGAAUCGCCCUUCGGGGUGCAGCAGGCGCGAAAACUCCACAAUGUACGGAAGUACGAUGGGGUUAUCUCGAGUGCAGUCCGAUAAGGGCUGCUUUUCCAUAGAGUAAUAUCCUGUGGGAAUAAGAGGGGGGCAAGACUGGUGUCAGCCGCCGCGGUAACACCAGCCCCUCGAGUGGUGGGGACUAUUAUUUGGUCUAAAGCGUCCGUAGCUGGCUGUAUCCGUCCCCCGUUAAAUCCAGCGUCCUAAGCGUUGGACUGCGGGUGAUACCAUACAGCUCGAGGGUGGGAUAGGUGAGCGGUAUUUCUGGGGUAGGGGCGAAAUCCUUUGAUCCCAGGAGGACCACCAGUGGCGAAGGCUGCUCACUAGAACACGCCUGACGGUCAGGGACAAAAGCUGGGGCAGCGAACCGGAUUAUAUACCCGGGUAGUCCCAGCUGUAAACGAUGCUAGCUAGGUGUUGGGUCGGCCACGCGCCGCCCCAGUGCCGCAGGGAAACCGUUAAGCUCGCCACCUGGGGAGUACGGCCGCACGGCUGAAACUUAAAGGAAUUGGCGGGGGAGCAC